UACGUAGGGUCCGAGCGUUGUCCGGAAUUACUGGGCGUAAAGAGCUCGUAGGUGGUUUGUCGCGUUGUUCGUGAAAACUCACAGCUUAACUGUGGGCGUGCGGGCGAUACGGGCAGACUGGAGUACUGCAGGGGAGACUGGAAUUCCUGGUGUAGCGGUGGAAUGCGCAGAUAUCAGGAGGAACACCGGUGGCGAAGGCGGUUCUCUGGGCAUGUUCUGACGCUGAGGAGCGAAAGUGUGGGGAGCGAACAGG
rnacentral:rRNA from 1 species